CAGGGAAACGGCGCCAGUUCAUCUUCAUUGCUUGAAGUAACUUAUGUGACUUACACCUCUGUUACAGUACAACCUAAAACUGAAGCAAGCAGUCCAGUAUCUGUGGAGGACGAGGUGACCUACAGCUCUGUGCACAAGUAGUUUAGAUGUUUCAGGUGCAAACCACUAAAUACCUGAACAAAAUAUGAACAAGUGAAGUUGAAACAAGCCAAUAUAUAGUACAUUUUUCAGGAAUACUUAUUCUGUUAAAAUUAUAUAUUUUAUCUCUUUGUCAAUAUAUUAGUGGCAUUGUGUAAGUACUUUUAGACAUGCAAAAAACACAAGGUUUACACUGAGAUCAAUAUUUUGUUUAGUAUUUUACUGUACGUGUGUGUAAAUUGUUGUUGUCUGCAAAAAGCUUAAAGCAAUAAUACAUAUUUGUUAAGUUGUAAAUAAUACACAUCUGUAAUGUACUUGCUUCUAAUCGUGACAAUAAAUAAAAUCUAUUUUUGUCUG